UCUCUCUGAAUCUGCGAACGGCUCCGCAAACCAGUUGUAAACUAUUGCUAGCACGCUCAUCGUCUUCGGAUGGUGGGCUAUAAGGAUAACCCUGGUAAUUCUGAGGCUAAUACUCGACCGUAAAACUCGCUGGUCUGGGUAACUGGUAAGGCGAGGGACGUGUAAUUGAUCGCAGGAGAUGCCGGGAAAGGAUGCACGUUCUGACCACCAUACAAACAGUAUCCUGGAAGCUCGCAAGGGCCGAAGGGUGUCUGGGUGGCUCUAGCAUUGUGCUUCUGACCUAUCAACUAGAUGGCAGUGUAAGGGACAUGCCAUGGUUACAACGGGUACAGAGGAUAAGGGUUCGAUCCUGGAGAGUGGGCCUGAGAGAUU
rnacentral:rRNA from 1 species